UACGGAGGGGGCAAGCGUUGUUCGGAAUCAUUGGGCGUAAAGCGCACGUAGGCGGCUUCGCAAGUCGGAUGUGAAAUCCCUCGGCUCAACCGAGGACGUGCAUACGAAACUGCGGAGCUUGAGUGCUGAAGAGGAUCGCGGAAUUCCCGGUGUAGAGGUGAAAUUCGUAGAUAUCGGGAGGAACACCAGUGGCGAAGGCGGCGAUCUGGGCAGACACUGACGCUGAGGUGCGAAAGCGUGGGGAGCAAACAGG
rnacentral:rRNA from 1 species